rnacentral:rRNA from 1 species
GAAACCCGGUGAUCUAGCCAUGGGCAGGUUGAAGGUUGGGUAACACUAACUGGAGGACCGAACCGACUAAUGUUGAAAAAUUAGCGGAUGACUUGUGGCUGGGGGUGAAAGGCCAAUCAAACCGGGAGAUAGCUGGUUCUCCCCGAAAGCUAUUUAGGUAGCGCCUCGUGAAUUCAUCUCCGGGGGUAGAGCACUGUUUCGGCAAGGGGGUCAUCCCGACUUACCAACCCGAUGCAAACUGCGAAUACCGGAGAAUGUUAUCACGGGAGACACACGGCGGGUGCUAACGUCCGUCGUGAAGAGGGAAACAACCCAGACCGCCAGCUAAGGUCCCAAAGUCAUGGUUAAGUGGGAAACGAUGUGGGAAGGCCCAGACAGCCAGGAUGUUGGCUUAGAAGCAGCCAUCAUUUAAAGAAAGCGUAAUAGCUCACUGGUCGAGUCGGCCUGCGCGGAAGAUGUAACGGGGCUAAACCAUGCACCGAAGCUGCGGCAGCGACACUAUGUGUUGUUGGGUAGGGGAGCGUUCUGUAAGCCUGUGAAGGUGGCCUGUGAGGGUUGCUGGAGGUAUCAGAAGUGCGAAUGCUGACAUAAGUAACGAUAAAGCGGGUGAAAAGCCCGCUCGCCGGAAGACCAAGGGUUCCUGUCCAACGUUAAUCGGGGCAGGGUGAGUCGACCCCUAAGGCGAGGCCGAAAGGCGUAGUCGAUGGGAAACAGGUUAAUAUUCCUGUACUUGGUGUUACUGCGAAGGGGGGACGGAGAAGGCUAUGUUGGCCGGGCGACGGUUGUCCCGGUUUAAGCGUGUAGGCUGGUUUUCCAGGCAAAUCCGGAAAACCAAGGCUGAGGCGUGAUGACGAGGCACUACGGUGCUGAAGCGACAAAUGCCCUGCUUCCAGGAAAAGCCUCUAAGCAUCAGGUAACAUCAAAUCGUACCCCAAACCGACACAGGUGGUCAGGUAGAGAAUACCAAGGCGCUUGAGAGAACUCGGGUGAAGGAACUAGGCAAAAUGGUGCCGUAACUUCGGGAGAAGGCACGCUGAUAUGUAGGUGAAGCGACUUGCUCGUGGAGCUGAAAUCAGUCGAAGAUACCAGCUGGCUGCAACUGUUUAUUAAAAACACAGCACUGUGCAAACACGAAAGUGGACGUAUACGGUGUGACGCCUGCCCGGUGCCGGAAGGUUAAUUGAUGGGGUUAGCGGUAACGCGAAGCUCUUGAUCGAAGCCCCGGUAAACGGCGGCCGUAACUAUAACGGUCCUAAGGUAGCGAAAUUCCUUGUCGGGUAAGUUCCGACCUGCACGAAUGGCGUAAUGAUGGCCAGGCUGUCUCCACCCGAGACUCAGUGAAAUUGAACUCGCUGUGAAGAUGCAGUGUACCCGCGGCAAGACGGAAAGACCCCGUGAACCUUUACUAUAGCUUGACACUGAACAUUGAGCCUUGAUGUGUAGGAUAGGUGGGAGGCUUUGAAGUGUGGACGCCAGUCUGCAUGGAGCCGACCUUGAAAUACCACCCUUUAAUGUUUGAUGUUCUAACGUUGGCCCCUAAUCGGGGUUGCGGACAGUGUCUGGUGGGUAGUUUGACUGGGGCGGUCUCCUCCUAAAGAGUAACGGAGGAGCACGAAGGUUGGCUAAUCCUGGUCGGACAUCAGGAGGUUAGUGCAAUGGCAUAAGCCAGCUUGACUGCGAGCGUGACGGCGCGAGCAGGUGCGAAAGCAGGUCAUAGUGAUCCGGUGGUUCUGAAUGGAAGGGCCAUCGCUCAACGGAUAAAAGGUACUCCGGGGAUAACAGGCUGAUACCGCCCAAGAGUUCAUAUCGACGGCGGUGUUUGGCACCUCGAUGUCGGCUCAUCACAUCCUGGGGCUGAAGUAGGUCCCAAGGGUAUGGCUGUUCGCCAUUUAAAGUGGUACGCGAGCUGGGUUUAGAACGUCGUGAGACAGUUCGGUCCCUAUCUGCCGUGGGCGCUGGAGAACUGAGGGGGGCUGCUCCUAGUACGAGAGGACCGGAGUGGACGCAUCACUGGUGUUCGGGUUGUCAUGCCAAUGGCACUGCCCGGUAGCUAAAUGCGGAAGAGAUAAGUGCUGAAAGCAUCUAAGCACGAAACUUGCCCCGAGAUGAGUUCUCCCUGAGACUUAGAGUCUCCUGAAGGAACGUUGAAGACGACGACGUUGAUAGGCCGGGUGUGUAAGCGCAGCGAUGCGUUGAGCUAACCGGUACUAAUGAACCGUGAGGCUUAACCUU